CAAAGUGCUGGGAUUACAGGCUUGAGCCCCCGUGCCUGGCCUUCACCUCUACCUAUUAUAAUAUUUUCAUGUUAUUCCAUUUUGUCAUGUUUGUGGGUCAUUUGAUGAGGGUUCACAAUAUGAAAACUGGGCAUUUUGGCCAAGAUGCAUGUAAAUGAAUACAACUCCAUGUGCCCUGAUAACUGAUUUCUAGAUCCUGAGAUGCAAGUGGCUUCCAGAGUGUCUGUAUUUUAUGAAAGUUCAUAUACAGUAAACCAUGCUAAUUGUUACUGAUACAGCUUCCUUGAAUAUAUAAAGCGAUGAUUAAUGGGAUGUUUUGUUUCUGCAGAAAACCACUGAAUUGCUUCUCCAAAGCCAAGUGACCUGUAUGAUUUGUCCUUAUUAUAUUUUGUGAACCAGUGGACUAAAACCUUUAUAAUGGGUCAUUUUUUUAGUAUUGUCAAUAUUGCUCAAUUAACAAACAUGACUCAUAUACACAGGUGAGAUGUAGUUCUCCCUUUGACAUUUGCUCUACAUCUGUCCCUUAGAUGAUGAUAUGGAAGAAAAGCACUCUUUGGCCUGUUGUGACUGGGACAGUUGACAGCACCCAGGUGUCCUUUAAUGAAAAUGCUCUUGACACCAAUGCAUCCUAGCAUCACAGCUUCAGGAAGCCUUCUCAAGUGUGCAUGGGGAGUACUAUGUCUUUCAUCAAUAAUGAAAUCUUCUGAUUUGUAAGACAUGCUGCCAAGAGAUGUGCCAUUCUAUUAUAAAAGAUCAGUAGCUUCCUUUACCGACGUGUAUAUUCUAUCUAGAACAUUGAGCUAUGGAAGACUCCCACCUAAGGGAAUUAGUUUUACACCUUCAGAUAAAGACUGCUGAGAAGAGCACCCUCUGGUGUUGUCACAGAGGCAAGUGCUACCGCACAGGCAUGCUGCAGUGAAUUUAACUGAUCCUCUGUCCCUGCAACCGUUGUUUAAGGAUGCUAUUCUGAAAAGACUGUGGAGGAAGAAAACCCUUUACCCUGUUGUUCAGGGAGAAACUGACACCACUCAACUGCCUGGCACUGAAAAUGUGGCAUCCAGUCCACUUUACCAUCAGUGUUUAAGGAAACCAUCUCUGAUAAGGAUGACUGAGGAAGAGUACUCUUUGGCUUGUUGACACCAGCACAGCUGACACACCCAGAUAUCUGUUUGGUCUCCUGUGAACUUUCAACCAGGAUUUAAGGAUGCCACUCUGGUUAAAAGCUGAAACAACUUCAAGGAAACUUCAGGGAAAAGAGAAGGCCUGGAAUCUGAUCCUCCACUUCAGAGAACAGGGGUCAGCUUACUGUAUGAUUAAGUAACACAAGGCACAGUAGCCAUCUUUUUCAUUAUGUUGCAACACUGAUCACGUGCCUCGAUAAAAUGGCUGAUUCAACAAGAUGAUGGCAACACGAAGGGGAGACUUUGGAUUGUCUAUUUAAAAUCUAGGUAAUAAGUAAGUAAUUAAUAAAAACUCUAUCUUAAGUGCACUUUCACAUGCUUUUUGUUUAUAAUAAACAAACAACAAACU
rnacentral:lncRNA from 1 species